rnacentral:rRNA from 1 species
UACGGAGGAUGCAAGCGUUAUCCGGAAUGAUUGGGCGUAAAGCGUCCGCAGGUGGCUAUGUAAGUCUGCUGUUAAAGAGUCUAGCUCAACUAGAUAAGAGCAGUGGAAACUACAUGGCUAGAGUGCGUUCGGGGCAGAGGGAAUUCCUGGUGUAGCGGUGAAAUGCGUAGAGAUCAGGAAGAACACCGGUGGCGAAAGCGCUCUGCUAGGCCGCAACUGACACUGAGGGACGAAAGCUAGGGGAGCGAAUGGG